rnacentral:lncRNA from 1 species
UGUCCAUUUCACAUUCGUUAGAUCCAUUUGCCUCUAGUUAGGGAGACACAUCCUUAAAAUGGUGGCUUUAGGAAGCUUCCCGCAGAGUUUCUUUCGUGUGGCAAUGUGUGUAGCAGGUAUACUGAGCUUCUGUUUCCUUCCAGGAGAAGGAGAAGGGGCACUUACCCAGGAGUACCGAACACUCUCAGCCUGCUCUCUUGGUCUCCUUCAUGUCUGUUUCUGCCCUGCUGAUUUUCUGCCUUCAGAAACAAAGAAGAAUCCAGCUUUUCUUCAUGAUGCAGGAUGUUGUAUAUACUUGGAGCCAUCCUCAGUCACAGCUGCCCCUUCAUGAUUCCAAGAAAGCUUGCUGAUGCUUGGAAAAAUCAAAAAGGACAUAGGGAGAGGACAUGUAAAGGCAGAGAGGUCAGAGGAGCCUCUCUGAAGAUGCAACACAAGCUGAAACCUGACCAAGCAGGACCCAGUCAUGAGAAUAGCCCGUGUGGUCCAGAAAGUGAGUCAUCAAGUGCAAAAGUCUUGAGGCAGGGAGGAGGCAAGUGUGGUUGGAGCAUUAUAGUAAAAGAGAUGGUUGGUGUAAGGUGCAGGGAACCAGGGGAGCAACCAGGGGCCAGAGCAUGCAGGCUGGGGCGAGUAGCAGUAGGAAGCAGUGAGCUCUGAACUCUGGAGAUGUCUGCCUGUGUGUCUGUCUCUCCAUCUAUAGCCAUCUAUCUAAACAUAUCUCUCACUGCAGUGACACAAUAUUUAGGUAGAUGAUAGAUAAAUUGAUUUACUUUUUGCUGUUGUUGUUGUUGACUCAGAGUCUUUCUCUGUCGCUGGCUGGAGUGCAGUGGUGCGAUCUUGGCUCACUGCAACCUCUGCCUCCCAGGUUGAAGUGAUUCUCGUGCCUCAGCCUCCCAAGUAACUGGAAUUAUAGGUACGUGCCACACACCCAGCUAAUUCUUUGUAUUUUUAGUAGAGACAGGGUUUCACCAUGUUGGUCAGGCUGGUCCCAAACUCCUGACCUCAAGUGAUCUGCCUGCCUCAGCCUCCCAAAGUGCUGGGAUUACAGGCAUGAGCCACCGCACCUGGCCUGAUUUACUUUUAAUUUUGAAAUAAUUAUAGAUUCACAGCAAGUCACAAAAUAGUACAUAGAGUCCCACCAGCCCUUCACUCAUUUUCCCCAAUGGUGACAAGGUAUAACUUAUAGAAGUGGAAAAUUGACAUUGGCGUGAUACUAUUAACUAGACUACAGAGCUUGAGUUCAUUUAUAUUUGUAAUCACUCUGGCCACUCCAUGGAGAACGGAUUCAUGGCAGGCUUGCACUGCAGAUACAGGGUGUAGCAGGGUACUGCAAUUAUCCAAGCAAAAAAGAAAAAUGAAUAUGAAGAAAAAUAGACACAUCUCAGUUUUCUGGGCAGUUCAUUUCCACUUUGUUUCAGUAUCUGGCCUCCUUAUGUGCAUCAACAGUUUCAUGGGAC